rnacentral:rRNA from 1 species
GAGUUUGAUCAUGGCUCAGGAUGAACGCUAGCGGCAGGCUUAACACAUGCAAGUCGAGGGGUAACAGGGAUUGCUUGCAAUCCGCUGACGACCGGCGAACGGGUGCGUAACGCGUAUGCAACCUACCUUUUACUGGGGGAUAGUCAAGAGAAAUUUUGAAUAAUACCCCAUACGAUCAUUUAUUUGCAUAAAUAGAUGAAGAAAACUCCGGUGGUAAAAGAUGGGCAUGCGUCCUAUUAGUUUGUUGGUGAGGUAACGGCUCACCAAGACUACGAUAGGUAGGGGUCCUGAGAGGGAGACCCCCCACACUGGUACUGAGACACGGACCAGACUCCUACGGGAGGCAGCAGUGAGGAAUAUUGGACAAUGGAGGCAACUCUGAUCCAGCCAUGCCGCGUGCAGGAAGACGGCCCUAUGGGUUGUAAACUGCUUUUAUACAGGAAGAAACGUCAGUACGUGUACUGACCUGACGGUACUGUAAGAAUAAGGAUCGGCUAACUCCGUGCCAGCAGCCGCGGUAAUACGGAGGAUCCAAGCGUUAUCCGGAAUUAUUGGGUUUAAAGGGUCCGCAGGCGGUCUGAUAAGUCAGAGGUGAAAUACUAUCGCUCAACGAUAGAACUGCCUUUGAUACUGUUAGACUUGAGUUAUUGUGAAGUAGUUAGAAUGUGUAGUGUAGCGGUGAAAUGCAUAGAUAUUACACAGAAUACCGAUUGCGAAGGCAGAUUACUAACAAUACACUGACGCUCAUGGACGAAAGCGUGGGUAGCGAACAGGAUUAGAUACCCUGGUAGUCCACGCCGUAAACGAUGGUCACUAGCUGUUUGACUAACAUUGGGUUAGUUGAGUGGCUAAGCGAAAGUGAUAA